AACGGUAUGCGAUUUGACAGGUUUAGUUGAUAGUAGAUUAUUUAUUUUGGUUGUCGACACGGUAUUUAACACUUUGUUCCAGGUGUUUUAUUUUUUAUUUUUUAAUACAUGUUUGGUUACUUGGUUUAGCUACAUUACAAAUUCGAUGUUGUCAUCGUAUUGACAAGUUUAACGCUGAAUUACUUACUAAAAGGUCUAAUCAUCCAUGUAGACUGAAUUAUUUACUAAAAGGUCUAAUCAUCCAUGAAGACUGCUAGGACGGCCACCUUUAAGUGCCAGUGUCUAAACAGGUCUUAGUUUAUCGAGAAGUGCAGAGAAGUCGGUAGCUUCGAGGUUGCU
rnacentral:rRNA from 1 species